rnacentral:rRNA from 1 species
GAUGAACGCUAGCUACAGGCUUAACACAUGCAAGUCGCGGGGCAGCAUGGGGGUUGCUUGCAACCCCUGAUGGCGACCGGCGCACGGGGGAGUAACGCGUAUCCAACCUGCCCUUCACCACGGGAUAACCCGGCGAAAGUCGGACUAAUACCGGAUGGUGUCCAUUGACGGCAUCCGAUUUGGACGAAAGGCCUGGGGGGGAAAGGAUGGGGAUGCGUCCGAUUAGCUUGACGGCGGGGUAACGGCCCACCGUGGCUACGAUCGGUAGGGGUUCUGAGAGGAAGGUCCCCCACACUGGAACUGAGACACGGUCCAGACUCCUACGGGAGGCAGCAGUGAGGAAUAUUGGUCAAUGGGCGUAAGCCUGAACCAGCCAAGUAGCGUGCAGGAUGACGGCCCUAUGGGUUGUAAACUGCUUUUAUGCGGGGAUAAAGUGGCCCACGUGUGGGCUUUUGCAGGUACCGCAUGAAUAAGGGCCGGCUAAUUCCGUG